rnacentral:lncRNA from 1 species
CUGUCCCGAACUACGUCGACUCUGACGUCUGUGCCUGACAGACUACGUAGGCCCAGGAUGCGAUAUCCUGCCGAGUUAGUUUCUUUUGUUUUCUGUGUCUCUAUUCAGCUAGUGUUUGAUGUUUGUGAACAGUUUUAGCAACCUUUAUCCUUCCUUUUGUGCGUGGAUCCCAUCGAGUACGACGGAUGGGUAGGGGUGCUCAUACCUUCCCUUCGCAUAACCGAC